rnacentral:lncRNA from 1 species
AGGGGUAGGGGGGUAACAGCUUGUGGGCUCAGGAUUACCAUGCUCACCAACGAGGCCACAAGCACAUCCCAGCUGCCCUAGGGCUCUCCUAGCAAAUGGGAAGGGGCUGAGGGCAAAGGAAGGUCUGAGCCCAUGGGUUCAGAACAAGGAAGUGCAAAGAUUACCACUGGUUUGCAAGCUGACAGGAUGUGGUACAUGUCAGCCCUCCCUCAGGAAGUAUGACAUACUGCCGGAACUGUGGCUAAUGGUGCGGACCACCCUGCUCACUGUUAGCAAAGUGGGUAGCUACCCUCUCUUCUGGAAGCCCCUCUGCAGCACUCCUCUUGGGAGUAGAAAAGGAAGUGGUCAAGCUCAGCCCCAGCCUCCUCAGCUUUCUGCAGCUGAGCCUCCAGACCUACAUUUGGGAGCUGAUCCGUCUUGCUCUCAGUUAGGGCCCAGCCCUUCUGUGGGGACCAGGAAAAUCUUUGCUCACCUGGAG